UUCGGCCUACAAAUUUCCAGCACAUGUCAGCAACGAACAUUAUUUCAAAGAUUUCUUCUAUCAUUCUUCGAGCACCGGACAUUCCAUGGCCGAGACGCUCUAUCGAAUCCGAUACACUACCAAGGGAUAAAGCCCGGAGACUCUUUGGACUGGAAUAGUAAAGGCAUAAGGUGCGCCCAGCGUACUUGAAGAAUCCACGGAAGAACGCGAGCACCAUGGCAGCCCUGAGCCGGGCGUCCGGCCAAGAUGACUUGGACACCACGUACCCGGCCAUGGCCACCUGCGAGACCAAGCUCAGCAGAUGCCUCGUCCACAGCUCGUUGUCCUGUUUCGAGAAGGCAGUGAUGGUGUCCUGCCCCCCAAAGGUGGACUAGCACGAACGGCGCCCAGAAGAACAUGAGCUCGUGGCUCGGGCCCCUCACGUAGACCGCGAGGUGGCCAAGCACGAAGAUGGCCACAGUGUCGGCCGACAGGUAGGCCAGCCAUAGGGCCAUCAUAAUCACGCGCGACCCGCUCCGCCUCCGCAUAUCCGCUGUGAGGAAGAGGAAGACUUGUAGGAAGAGGCUCACAAGGAUCAGGCAGUGGAUCCCCCACUCGUCCCACAGUUCUUUGGCAUGCUCCAAAUCGACGCUGAAAAUCGAGUAGAGGAGUUAUUUACCCUUUUUUUUAACUACUCCCUCUAUCCUAAAAUAUAAAACACGGUCAAACUUGGCAGGUCUCCAAUUCUAGCAUUUUACUCUUAAUAUCUCCUAUACUAUAAUGGGAUGAAGGGAAUAUGUAAUUAAUUGCGUGGAGCAAACCAUACUAAAGCACUUGAAAUCAAUAAUUAAUUCAUGUUCGUGUGUUUCUCCGAUUAAAAAAACAUCAUCAUUAAUCCUGAUAUUUUCUGAACAUGAAAAUUAUAUUUAUCCUCUAAGAUAGUACCACAUUCUAUUACGUACAUAUUCCGAUUAAACAGUAACUGAAACAUCAAUGUCACGGGGUUAGGAUAGAAAAAUAAAAGGGGUGCUAUAGGGGUGUAAGAGCCUCAAUGGCGGCCUUCCUCCACCCCUCAAUGGCGCCACGAUAGUAUAAAAAAUAUGGCACCAGCAUAGCCCUACCACGGCCUCCUGGCCAUCUCUCCCAUUUUCAAGAGCAUUCUAGUAGAUAGAUAAAGAUGAGGAGUACACCGUUAUAUUGGCAUCAGAAAAAUAAAGAGAAGUCAACUUUGUUCCAUGUUACAAAUUACCGCUACUAUUGCAUAAAUAUUCCGAUCAAACAGUAACUGAAACAUCAGUGUUACGGGGUUAGGCUAGAAAAUAAAAGGAGGUGGUAUAGGGGUGUAAGAGCCUCAAUGGCAGCCUUCCUCCACCCCUCAAUGGCGCCACGAUAGUAUAAAAAAAAUGGCACCACUGUAGCGCUACCACAGCCUCCUGGCCAUCUCUCCCAUUUUCAAGAGCAUUCUAAUAAGAUGAGGAGGUCACCAUUAUAUUGGCAUCAGAAAAAUAAAGAAAACGUCAACUUUGUUCCAUGUUACAAAUUACCGCUACUGAAGUAUACUAUGUGCCUAUUCAAUUUAUUAACUUGCAUACAUAUUUUUAGUGCUACUUGGUAACAGGAAUUGGCACUGGUACACUAAAGUAUCAGGAUUUGUGUUUGUUACAAACUGGUACUGAUGAUGUGCGAACAGUAUAAAAAGGGUGUACACAUAUCCUCAGGUUUUAGUACUCCUACUUGGAAGAGAAAACUACUUGCAUAUAUGCUUUUGAAUUACUUCCAAAUUUGCAAUUAGAAUAUCUUAAGUUUGUUUCCGAAAUAACUUGCUUAUUUUAUUUGCUCUUAAAGAAACCCAUGCCUCUGCCCUAAAAAAAUGAAAUUCUUGUAUAUGCAUGUUUGUAUGGAAAAGUAACGAUAAGGCUCCAUUUGGGACGCAUUUUACGAGCUCUGGCUUGAGUUGUUUUUCACAAACCGAGACAUUGUAGUGCAAAACCAUUUCACAAAUUGAGACAAAAACAAACUAGAAGCUAGGUGAAGCUAAUUUUUUUGAGUUCACUGGUUUUGACUUUAGAAAUGCUCAAGAUCAUAAGAUCCUUCGUAUCGAAGUUUGAGGAUAAAAACUUCUUUGUCUCUUGCAGUAGACUGAUAUCACUGCUCGCAAGUAAGAUAUCAUCCACAUACAGAAUUAGGAAAAUGUAUUUCCUAUUUUUGAACUUUGCAUAGACACAAUUGUCCUCUGUAUUCUCUUGAAACCCAAAUUUCUUAAUUAUAUCAUUAAACUUUAGAUACUAUUGUCUAAAGGCUUCCUUUAAUCCAUAAAUGGAUUUCUUUAGACGACAUCCCAUAUUCUCUUUGCCUUCCAUGAUAAAACCCUUAGGUUGUUUCAUGUAGACAUUUUCUUCUAAAUCCCCAUUUAGAAAUGCCGUCUUUACAUCCAUCUGAUGUAACUCUAAGUCAAAAUGUGCAACCAAUGCCAUUAUGAUUCUGAAGGAGUCUUUACAUGAGAUAGGAGAAAAAGUCUUAUUGUAAUCUAUUCCUUCUCUUUGUGUAAAGCCUUUUGCCACAAGUCUCGCCUUAUACCUUUCUAUAUUCCCUUUGGAGUCACAUUUCGUCUUGUAGACCCAUUUACAGCCUACUGUUUUGGCUCCUUUAGGAAUUUCUUCAAGUUCCCAAACUUUGUUGGAACUCAUCGAUUUCAUCUCAUCUUCCAUGGCCUCUAGCCACUUUGAUGAGUGAACAUUUUUCAUGGCUUCCUCAUAUGAAGUGGGAUCACCUUCUAUAUGAACUUCUUCUGUAUUAUAAAUUUUAUAGUCAUCAGAAAUAGCUGAUCUUCUGACUCUUUGAGACCUUCUAGGCCCCUCACUUUCGGGCACAUUCUGUGCCUCUGCUUGUGGCACAUCAUCCAGAGGUGGCUGCUGCAACUCUUCCUCGUGUGUAAUGAUGGGUUCAAUUGGCUCCUGAAGGACAGGUUCCAAAAAGUCACUCAUCGUUUCCACGGGUGGAAUCACAACACACAAAUGUCACGUGCAUGUCUAUUCCUUCGGUACAAGCGACAGAAAAUUGGGAAUUUAUUACAAGCAUUGUUACACAAUAACUAUGUAAUAUAUGUAUGUAUGAUAAUGAUCGGAUUGUCGUCACUAAGCACCAGGAUCUGGCAUAAAAGGGCCUAGAAGACGCAUGAGAAGGAGAACAUGAGAGAUGAAUUCCCCCCCGGUGCUGAGAUGCUCGUAGUGGAAAGCUGCCCCGCAACGAGGCGCCGUGUAGAAAAGCACCUCCAGCCACACCUCCGAGAUGAGGUCCCAGCGGGAAGCUUCGUCAUCGAUGGCCAUUAGCUCCUGGGCCACUGCAUGGGCACGAGACAGCACUGGAGCGUACAUAGCUUCUUCCGUCCACCGCAGAAGUUCCUGCGACCGACUGGUGGUAGCAGCAGCAUCCUUGCUGGCCGGUUCUUCAUUCUUGUCAUGGUGAGCCACCUCCUGCAUCGAGCCUUGCUGCUGCUGUUCUUCUUUCUUCAUAGCCUCAAGCACCUCCAUGAUAGCCAUAGCCAUAGCCUCCUCCUCACGUGCAAUCCCGCCAAGCCGUGAACUGAUGAAAUUGAGCCCUCCAUGAGCUUCCUCAUGUGCAAUCCGGGAGAUGCUUGUGAGCAUCACAUCGCACUUGAACACAAGGUACAUGAUAUAAAGAGACAGCUCUCUGCUCAUCAUCUUCUUCUUCUUCGCUUCGUCAGGUUCUGUAUCACGGCCUUUAUCCUCAGAGAAGUAGCAGAUGUCCGUUGCGAUGUGCAAGAUGAGGACACUUCUCGGGAAUUCAACUCUGCUGCUGACGCUCAUGUGCAGUGCAGCAUAGCCUGACCUUCCAGGUUCUGGAACUUGAUGGCUGCCCAUCCACUUCUCAAGUGCUCGCUCACCACGGAAGCUGGCAAUAUCCCACUCUUGUCUACUUGCUUGCAACAAUAACUUGUCGAGGACGAGCAACUUGAGAUCAUCAGUAACAGGUGUGCGUGUCGUGUCAAAGAACUCGACACACCAAGCACCGAAGCAUUUACCGGUCCAUUUCCGUAAGGAUGGCAUGCAUGCGUUACUAGUGUUGUAUCUACUUAUCAUGCUGUAUUGUGCUAGCUCUUCUGACCACUGUUUUGUUGUUUGCCAGCCUUCAGGAGCGAGGCAGCUGGCAAGACACAAGCAUGCCCAUUCACCUGCCGUUCCCGGACGGAAUGGUUCUCUCGUAUGGGAAACAAUGGACGUGAAGACAGGCAGCAGAUCAAGGACUAUGGCUCCUACAAGCAAUACGUAGGACACGAUGAUAUCCGCUUGACUAUAGUGUCUCUUCUUUUCGGCAGCUGCAAAGAGCACCAGGGCUAUGGCAGUUGACAGAUACUUGAAGAGGAUGUGUAUCAGGAAGCUGAGGAUAAUGGAUAGUUGACAGUUUUGGUGCCGAUCUUUAACAUCUAGAAGAUAAAAAGCAUAAAUAGGAAGCACAGUUUUGGUGUAUAGAGCUUUGUAGGAUUCUACCAGAAGUGCGGCCACGUACUGAUAGGUUAUGCACCGGUCUGGGCGAUUCUUAAACUCCUCCAGCAUGUCCGGUAGCUCGUCGGCAGCUAUGAUGAGCCACUCGUCAUUGACCACAGCAUCCACUGACAUGAUCUGCAUGUGAUCUGGAUAGGCAUGAUCGGUACUUUCGCCUACAAAUUUCCAGCACAUGUCAGCAACGAACAUUAUUUCAAACCUUUCUUUUAUUUUUGCUCUGGAUGUCACUUUUUCCCGCAGACUCCUUAUCGUUUCUGACAAAUGACCAAGGGAUGAAGCCCGGAGACUCUUUGGACUGGAAUAGUAAAGGCAUAAGGUGCGCCCAGCGUACUUGAAGAAUCCACGGAGGAACAUGAGCACCAUGGCAGCCCUGAGCCGGGCGUCCGGCCAAGAUGACUUGGACACCAC
rnacentral:lncRNA from 1 species